GAAUUGUUCGCAAUGGACGAAAGUCUGACGGAGCGACGCCGCGUGGUGGAUGAAGCGUUUCGGCGCGUAAACACCUUUUAUGAGGGAGGAAGUAUAUUGACGUUACCUCAUGAAUAAGGGGCUCCCAACUCUGUGCCAGCAGGAGCGGUAAUACAGAGGCCCCAAGCAUUAUCCGGAUUCACUGGGCGUAAAGGGUGCGUAGGCGGUUAUAUUAGUCAGAUGUUAAAUCUUUGGGCUCAACCCAAAAAUCGCAUUUGAAACGGUAUAACUAGAGGAAGUCAGAGGUAAGCAGAACUCUCGGUGUAGGGGUGAAAUCCGUUGAUAUCGAGGGGAAUACCAAAUGCGAAGGCAGCUUACUGGGACUUUCCUGACGCUGAGGCACGAAAGCAUGGGUAGCGAACGGG
rnacentral:rRNA from 1 species